rnacentral:rRNA from 1 species
UACGUAGGGUGCGAGCGUUUGUCCGGAAUUACUGGGCGUAAAGAGCUCGUAGGUGGUUUGUCGCGUUGUUCGUGAAAACUCACAGCUCAACUGUGGGCGUGCGGGCGAUACGGGCAGACUGGAGUACUGCAGGGGAGACUGGAAUUCCUGGUGUAGCGGUGGAAUGCGCAGAUAUCAGGAGGAACACCGGUGGCGAAGGCGGGUCUCUGGGCAGUAACUGACACUGAGGAGCGAAAGCGUGGGGAGCGAACAGG